CCUACGGGGGGCUGCAGUGAGGAAUAUUGGUCAAUGGACGAGAGUCUGAACCAGCCAAGUAGCGUGAAGGAUGACUGCCCUAUGGGUUGUAAACCUCUUUUAUAUGGGAAUAAAACAGGGUAUGCAUACCCUCUUGUAUGUACCAUAUGAAUAAGGAUCGGCUAACCCCGGUCCAGCAGCCGCGGUAAUACGGAGGAUCCGAGCGUUAUCCGGAUUUAUUGGGGUUAAAGGGAGCGUAGGUGGAUUGUUAAGUCAGUUGUGAAAGUUUGCGGCUCAACCGUAAAAUUGCAGUUGAAACUGGCAGUCUUGAGUACAGGAGAGGUAGGCGGAAUUCGUGGUGUAGCAGUGAAAUGCUUAGAUAUCACGAAGAACUCCGAUUGCGAAGGCAGCUCACUGGACUGCAACUGACGCUGAUGCACGAAAGUGUGGGUAUCGAACAGGAUUAGAUACCCGUGUAGUC
rnacentral:rRNA from 1 species